AUUGUUUGGUGAUGUGGUUUAUUUUGACACUAGUUAUCGCUCAAUCACAUAUGGUAUGCUUUUUGGAGCAUGGCUUGGAAUAGAAAAUAAUGGAAAAACCAUAUUUUUUGGUUGUGUUCUAUUGCAGGAAGAAACACCUCGUUCCUUUGCUUGGGCUUUGCAGGCUUUUAUCCGUCUUAUGAAGGGAAAAUGCCCACAGACAAUUCUUACUAGCCUAGAUAUGGGGCUUAAGGAUGCCAUAAGUAGUGAGUUACCCAGCACUAAGCAUGUUAUAU
rnacentral:misc_RNA from 1 species